rnacentral:lncRNA from 1 species
UUUAAGAUUGUGUGAUUAUUCAUUUAUUAUAAGAGUAAAAUCAAAGAUUUUGUGAUUGUUUUAAUAUUUUGGAUUCUAAAUUGAUGUAGUUCCUUUAUUAUAGUCCUGGAAAUCACAUUAGGAAAACAAUGUAGUUCGUUUGAGUUACUAAUAAUUUGUUUCCUUCUUUGUACUUCGUUUGAGUUAUUUUAGGAAAACAAUGAAUAUGUGGAAAAUAAAAUCAUUUUUAAUGUGAGAUUAAUUUAAUUCUCAAUGGUAUUUACCUGUAAAUAUAGUGUAAUUUUUAGGGUUAUUCCAUAAGUGUACUCAUGUUUUAAGAGGUUGAUUGUUUGUGGUUUUUGUUUUAGUUUUUGGUUUUUGCUUUUGUAAAAACCAUGUUUUAUCCAAUCAAGUUUUAGUUUUUAGUUUUUGUUUUUGCAAAAACCAUUUCAAUUGUCAAUCAAGUUUUUUAACAAAUAGAUUCCCUAAAAUUU